rnacentral:lncRNA from 1 species
AAUAAACUCUCCAAGCCUCUUUUACCCAACUUCACAAAAUUACCGCGGAGGGUAAAUAAGAUAGCAUUCAUGAAAAUGCUUUGAAAACCCUAAAGCACCCCGGAACACUUAGUACUGUGCUUUGUUCUGACAGUGGCCGAGAAAGAGGACCAAGUUUCCUCUGUGCAGAGGAAGAGUGCCCUCCUCCCCGGCGAUGCCUGCCUCUCCCGUCAGUCCUGCUGCUGCCCCUGCGGACACGGGAAAUGACAGCCCCCCAUCCACCAUGAUGCAUCUCUAUGACUGGGAGAAAUCAGCUAUUUCAAUCCUUCUCCACAUGGAACAGGCCUUAGAGCUGCCAUGCAUCAUCAGCCUGCCAAGCCUCUCUGCUGUUAAGAACGUUCUCUUCUUGUUUAUUUGUUGGUUGCUGGACUCCCUACACAACCUAGUGGACUUCAUUGCCCAGGAGGCAUCUUGUGCUCUGCUGGGCAGCUGACCCUCUCGUGGGCUGGGACCCAUCAGAACCUUUCCAAUGUCUCCACCCUGCAAGGUUCCCUCUGCCAGGGGAGCCUGAGAGUGGCCCCUCAGGGAGGCCCAGAAGCGGCCCUGCCACAGCACAUUUCUUUUGAAGUCUUAUGUUUUAUCUCAGGAAAUCAUGUGGAUUUUACGUUCCUUGCCAUUUCCAGAAUUCAUAUGUGUUUGUUUUCAUAUAAGCAUGUUUUAACCCUAAAUCUUCAAGUAAAAUUGAUGCCCCGGGAUGAUAGACAUGUUUGUUCAGUGCCUUUAUACCACCUAGGUUGCUAUGAUUUUCCCCAAGGGUACAAGUGCUCUAGUUAGAGAAGCAUAUGCAAUAAGAACAACAGAAAAAGCCUGAGUCCUCCCACCUUCCUCUCCCUGGCUUCUGCAAAAGAGCUCCUGUCUGUCUGCUUCCUGUAACACGCGAGUCUUCUGUGCUCCAUACUAGGAAAAUGGGGAGAAAUGAAGAGCUUGGGAAGUUGGAAAGGCUACAUAGAUCCACAGUCUCUGGAGGCUCCAAAAUGUUUGUGGAGUAAAUUCUUUUUCUUCCUGCAAUAGCUCAGCAUUAUUAUCAAUAAUGAAAUCCUAACCAGAGAGAAAGAGAGAGAGAGAGACCUUUCCUCAGUCCCCAACCCUCUCCAAAGGGCUAUGAAGGUAAUACCCUUAUUCUCAUUAAUAUCUGCCUGCAUGUAGCAGCCCUGGAGGGUAAAAGGAAGCUGCUUUAUAAGGUAAGAGGUUCUUAGCAGUUAGGACCCUGAGAAAUUUGGGAGAAACAAACAACAGCACUUUCUCCAAUUCUAUUCAUCUCAAGGGGAAAGCCAGUUAUGAAAAAAACUGACAUUGGUAU